CAGUAGCCGCGGUAACACAGAGGUCCCGAGCGUUGUUCGGAUUCAUUGGGCGUAAAGGGUGUGUAGGAGGUCGGGUUAGUCAGGUGUGAAAUCUCGGAGCUUAACUCUGAAACUGCGCUUGAUACUGCCCGGCUAGAGGAUCGGAGGGGGUACUGGAAUAUAUGGUGUAGCAGUGAAAUGCGUAGAUAUCAUACGGAACACCGGUGGCGUAGGCGGGUACCUGGAAGAUUCCUGACUCUGAAACACGAAAGCUAGGGGAGCAAACGGGAUUAGAUACCCCGUAGUCCCUGUCUCUUAUACC
rnacentral:rRNA from 1 species